UUAACACAUGCAAGUCGAGCGGCGUGAUGUAGCUUGCUACAUUACCUAGCGGCGGACGGGUGAGUAAUGCUUAGGAAUCUGCCUAUUAGUGGGGGACAACAUUCCGAAAGGAAUGCUAAUACCGCAUACGCCCUAAGGGGGAAAGCAGGGGAUCUUCGGACCUUGCGCUAAUAGAUGAGCCUAAGUCAGAUUAGCUAGUUGGUGGGGUAAAGGCCUACCAAGGCGACGAUCUGUAGCGGGUCUGAGAGGAUGAUCCGCCACACUGGGACUGAGACACGCCCCAGACUCCUACGGGAGGCAGCAGUGGGGAAUAUUGGACAAUGGGCGCAAGCCUGAUCCAGCCAUGCCGCGUGUGUGAAGAAGGCCUUUUGGUUGUAAAGCACUUUAAGCGAGGAGGAGGCUACUUAGAUUAAUACUCUAGGAUAGUGGACGUUACUCGCANAAUAAGCACCGGCUAACUCUGUGCCAGCAGCCGCGGUAAUACAGAGGGUGCGAGCGUUAAUCGGAUUUACUGGGCGUAAAGCGUGCGUAGGCGGCUUUUUAAGUCGGAUGUGAAAUCCCUGAGCUUAACUUAGGAAUUGCAUUCGAUACUGGGAAGCUAGAGUAUGGGAGAGGAUGGUAGAAUUCCAGGUGUAGCGGUGAAAUGCGUAGAGAUCUGGAGGAAUACCGAUGGCGAAGGCAGCCAUCUGGCCUAAUACUGACGCUGAGGUACGAAAGCAUGGGGAGCAAACAGGAUUAGAUACCCUGGUAGUCCAUGCCGUAAACGAUGUCUACUAGCCGUUGGGGCCUUUGAGGCUUUAGUGGCGCAGCUAACGCGAUUAGUAGACCGCCUGGGGAGUACGGUCGCAAGACUAAAACUCAAAUGAAUUGACGGGG
rnacentral:rRNA from 1 species